AACGAACGCUGGCGGCAUGCCUAACACAUGCAAGUCGAACGAGACCUUCGGGUCUAGUGGCGCACGGGUGCGUAACGCGUGGGAACCUGCCCUUAGGUUCGGAAUAACUCCCCGAAAGGGGUGCUAAUACCGGAUAAUGUCUUCGGACCAAAGAUUUAUCGCCUUUGGAUGGGCCCGCGUUGGAUUAGCUAGUUGGUAGGGUAAAAGCCUACCAAGGCGACGAUCCAUAGCUGGGCUGAGAGGAUGAUCAGCCACACUGGGACUGAGACACGGCCCAGACUCCUACGGGAGGCAGCAGUGGGGAAUAUUGGACAAUGGGCGAAAGCAUGAUCCAGCAAUGACGCGUGAGUGAUGAAGGCCUUAGGGUUGUAAAGCUCUUUUACCCGGGAUGAUAAUGACAGUACCGGGAGAAUAAGCUCCGGCUAACUCCGUG
rnacentral:rRNA from 1 species